GAUCAUGGCUCAGGACGAACGCUGGCUGCGUGCUUAACACAUGCAAGUCGAACGCUGAAGCCUGGUGCUUGCACCGGGUGGAUGAGUGGCGAACGGGUGAGUAACACGUGAGUAACCUGCCCCUGACUUCGGGAUAAGCCCGGGAAACUGGGUCUAAUACCGGAUACGACUGUCCGGACGCAUGUCUGGUGGUGGAAAGUUUUUUCGGUUGGGGAUGGGCUCGCGGCCUAUCAGUUUGUUGGUGAGGUAAUGGCUCACCAAGACGACGACGGGUAGCCGGCCUGAGAGGGCGACCGGCCACACUGGGACUGAGACACGGCCCAGACUCCUACGGGAGGCAGCAGUGGGGAAUAUUGCACAAUGGGGGAAACCCUGAUGCAGCGACGCAGCGUGCGGGAUGACGGCCUUCGGGUUGUAAACCGCUUUCAGCAGGGAAGAAGCGCAAGUGACGGUACCUGCAGAAGAAGUACCGGCUAACUACGUGCCAGCAGCCGCGGUAAUACGUAGGGUACGAGCGUUGUCCGGAAUUAUUGGGCGUAAAGAGCUCGUAGGUGGUUGGUCACGUCUGCUGUGGAAACGCAACGCUUAACGUAUGCGCGUGCAGUGGGUACGGGCUGACUAGAGUGCAGUAGGGGAGUCUGGAAUUCCUGGUGUAGCGGUGAAAUGCGCAGAUAUCAGGAGGAACACCGGUGGCGAAGGCGGGACUCUGGGCUGUAACUGACACUGAGGAGCGAAAGCAUGGGGAGCGAACAGGAUUAGAUACCCUGGUAGUCCAUGCCGUAAACGUUGGGCACUAGGUGUGGGGGGCAUUCCACGUUCUCCGCGCCGUAGCUAACGCAUUAAGUGCCCCGCCUGGGGAGUACGGUCGCAAGGCUAAAACUCAAAGGAAUUGACGGGGGCCCGCACAAGCGGCGGAGCAUGCGGAUUAAUUCGAUGCAACGCGAAGAACCUUACCAAGGCUUGACAUACACCGGACCGUCCUGGAAACAGGUCUUCUUCUUUGAAGCUGGUGUACAGGUGGUGCAUGGUUGUCGUCAGCUCGUGUCGUGAGAUGUUGGGUUAAGUCCCGCAACGAGCGCAACCCUCGUUCUAUGUUGCCAGCAUGUGAUGGUGGGAACUCAUAGGAGACUGCCGGGGUCAACUCGGAGGAAGGUGGGGAUGACGUCAAAUCAUCAUGCCCUUUAUGUCUUGGGCUUCACGCAUGCUACAAUGGCUGGUACAGAGAGAGGCGAACCCGUGAGGGCAAGCGAAUCCCUUAAAGCCAGUCUCAGUUCGGAUCGUAGUCUGCAAUUCGACUACGUGAAGUCGGAGUCGCUAGUAAUCGCAGAUCAGCAACGCUGCGGUGAAUACGUUCCCGGGCCUUGUACACACCGCCCGUCAAGUCACGAAAGUCGGUAACACCCGAAGCCGGUGGCCUAACCGUAAGAGGGGGCCGUCUAAGUGGGACUGGUGAUUGGGACUAAGUCGUAC
rnacentral:rRNA from 1 species